UCGUCACACUAUCAUUAACUGAAUCCAUAGGUUAAUGAGGCGAACCGGGGGAACUGAAACAUCUAAGUACCCCGAGGAAAAGAAAUCAACCGAGAUUCCCCCAGUAGCGGCGAGCGAACGGGGAGGAGCCCAGAGCCUGAAUCAGCAUGUGUGUUAGUGGAAGCGUCUGGAAAGGCGCGCGAUACAGGGUGACAGCCCCGUACACAAAAGCGCAUGUGCUGUGAGCUCGAUGAGUAGGGCGGGACACGUGGUAUCCUGUCUGAAUAUGGGGGGACCAUCCUCCAAGGCUAAAUACUCCUGACUGACCGAUAGUGAACCAGUACCGUGAGGGAAAGGCGAAAAGAACCCCGGCGAGGGGAGUGAAAAAGAACCUGAAACCGUGUACGUACAAGCAGUGGGAGCACAGGUUUACCUGUGUGACUGCGUACCUUUUGUAUAAUGGGUCAGCGACUUAUAUUCUGUAGCAAGGUUAACCGAAUAGGGGAGCCGGAGGGAAACCGAGUCUUAAUUGGGCGUUAAGUUGCAGGGUAUAGACCCGAAACCCGGUGAUCUAGCCAUGGGCAGGUUGAAGGUUGGGUAACACUAACUGGAGGACCGAACCGACUAAUGUUGAAAAAUUAGCGGAUGACCUGUGGCUGGGGGUGAAAGGCCAAUCAAACCGGGAGAUAGCUGGUUCUCCCCGAAAGCUAUUUAGGUAGCGCCUCGUGAAUUCAUCUCCGGGGGUAGAGCACUGUUUCGGCUAGGGGGCCAUCCCGGCUUACCAACCCGAUGCAAACUGCGAAUACCGGAGAAUGUUAUCACGGGAGACACACGGCGGGUGCUAACGUCCGUCGUGAAGAGGGAAACAACCCAGACCGCCAGCUAAGGUCCCAAAGUCAUGGUUAAGUGGGAAACGAUGUGGGAAGGCCCAGACAGCCAGGAUGUUGGCUUAGAAGCAGCCAUCAUUUAAAGAAAGCGUAAUAGCUCACUGGUCGAGUCGGCCUGCGCGGAAGAUGUAACGGGGCUAAACCAUGCACCGAAGCUGCGGCAGCGACGUUUAUGCGUUGUUGGGUAGGGGAGCGUUCUGUAAGCCUGCGAAGGUGGCCUGUGAGGGUUGCUGGAGGUAUCAGAAGUGCGAAUGCUGACAUAAGUAACGAUA
rnacentral:rRNA from 1 species